GAUGAACGCUAGCGGCAGGCCUAACACAUGCAAGUCGAGGGGUAGAGGAAGCUUGCUUCCUUGAGACCGGCGCACGGGUGCGUAACGCGUAUGCAAUCUACCUUUUACAGAGGGAUAGCCCAGAGAAAUUUGGAUUAAUACCUCAUAGUAUAUAUCAUUCGCAUGUUUGGUAUAUUAAAGUUCCAACGGUAAAAGAUGAGCAUGCGUCCCAUUAGUUAGUUGGUAAGGUAACGGCUUACCAAGACGAUGAUGGGUAGGGGUCCUGAGAGGGAGAUCCCCCACACUGGAGCUGAGACACGGACCAGACUCCUACGGGAGGCAGCAGUGAGGAAUAUUGGUCAAUGGACGCAAGUCUGAACCAGCCAUGCCGCGUGCAGGAAGACGGUCCUAUGGAUUGUAAACUGCUUUUGUACGGGAAGAAACACUCCUACGUGUAGGAGCCUGACGGUACCGUAAGAAUAAGGAUCGGCUAACUCCGUGCCAGCCGCCGCCGUAAAAC
rnacentral:rRNA from 1 species